rnacentral:rRNA from 1 species
GGACUACUGGGGUAUCUAAUCCUGUUCGCUCCCCACGCUUUCGCGCCUCAGCGUCAGUAUGAGGCCAGGUGGCUGCCUUCGCCAUUGACGUUCCUUCCGAUCUCUACGCAUUUCACUGCUACACCGGAAAUUCCGCCACCCUCUCCUCUACUCCAGUAAAAUAGUUUGGUAUGCACUUCCUAGGUUAAGCCCAGGGCUUUCACAUCCCACACAUCCCACCGCCUACGCGCCCUUUACGCCCAGUAAUUUCGAUUAACGCUCGCACCCUCUGUAUUACCGCGGCUGCUGGCAC